ACCCACUGAGUGACCACUGAGUGACCAUUGACCGCUGAGUGACCAUUGACCGCUGAGUGACCAUUGACCACGGAGUUACCACCUGGGAGUGACCACAGGCUGGCCUGAGAGUGACCACUGAGUGACCACUGAUCACUGAGUGACCACGGGCUGGCCUGAGAAUGACCAUGGAGUGACCACUGACCACUGAGUGACCACCCAGGAAUGGCCACUGACCAACUGACCAUCCAAAAAUGACCGCAGCUGUGGUCACUCAUGGAGAGUGGACAAUACAGAGUGGACAUCGGAAUGGACAUUGGAGUGGACACCGAGUGGACACAGAGUGGACAUUGCAGUGGACCCAG
rnacentral:lncRNA from 1 species